GCCUUGGUGGUGUAGUGGUAUCACGUGCCCCGUGGGAUGGGUUAGACGCAGGUUCAACUCCCCUCUAAGGUC